CUGUUUUGUACGCUGUUGCUUUUAAAAAUAGCCCAGUGCAUGCUUAAAUAAGCAGGCUGGCUUAAGCAGCUCAAGCACACGUUGGUCUCAAAGUUGAAAAUGAAUGAUUCUGAAAUUAUUCUCAUUCUGGUGUUUUCUGCUCGAGUAGGCCUACAGACAAAAGCACAGACAUUAAGGGGGCAUGAUGACAUACAGGUGGUUACUUUCAAGACAGUAGAAACAUAAUGUAGAAAAAACAAACAAUUGAUAGGUAUCAUUCAUAGCAUGCAUAUAGACGAAUGUCCUGUUUUUACUAUUCGUUUUUUUGGUGUGUCAGGUAUGUAGAGAGUUAUGGAAGAAGUAUGUUGUACUAGUAGGCUAUGUUAUUUUAUGAUCUUUUGCUGGCAUUGAAUUAUUUGUUAUCUCAGUGACCGGAACUAGAUAUAACAGCCUACUGUAUUAGUUAUGAUUUUGAUCUCAAUUCAACUCAAACAACAUUGUUCUUGUAGAUGGACAUCAGAAAGUUAUUCGCUCGGAGCAGGGAUAAAGCAGCAAGGAGAAAUGAGAGAGCUACGCUAGGUAACAAGGCAAUGCAAACCACUUUUAGGUAACAACCCAGUUGAGUUGACCACUGGUCACUAGCCCAAGCCUAACAGUUACAUAUCUGUCCAGACAAAGAGGAGCAGCAGAGUGCCGGAGGAGGUGACGGAGGAGUUGAAGGAAAAGGUGAAGGAGAGAGGGAUGUUGAUGAGCACGAGCAGAGACUCAGUGCAGCAGAGUGCAGAGGAGAGGAGCAGAUUGAAGGGACGCAGGUAGAGUUGGCAUUGAGAGAUGACACUGACAGACAGGAGAAUCAGAGGGCAGAAGAGAAUGAGCUGGUUGAGGCAGGGGAAAUGCAGAGAGAGAAGGAAGGACAACAGGAGACAGACAGGCCAGAGAGAUCACACCCCAGAUAUGAGACUGAGAAAACAGUUGCCACAGUGGCAGAGAACAUUAGACUGGGGGCAAGAGAAAAAAGCAGUGUCCACAAUGUUGAGGGACAUACAAGUGAUCUUGGGGGAAAGGAGUCUGGCCCAAACCAAGUUAAGUUGUCAAAAUAUCCCCAGCACAACUUUGGUGCCAAGAAUCGAUCCUUUAACGCCAACUGGUUUGAAAGCUUUACAUGGCUGGAAUAUUCCAAGUCUAAAGAUGCAGCCUUUUGUUUUCCCUGUAGAAUAUUUGGGAAACAUUUGAAGA